ensembl:lncRNA
AUGGGUGUGAAUGGGGAAGUGGUGGGAUUGGGGAAAAAUACUUGUAUUUUGAUUGUGGAAUAUCAAGAUUGUAUGUCUGUGUGUGUGUGUGUGUGUGUGUGUGUGUAUAUGUGUGUGAGAAAAAGACAGAAAUACUACCCACUGGCAACUGUGCCAUUGUGUCAUUGUAGAUCAACUCUGUUGGGAAUUAUUUCAUUGCCCUCAAGGCAAAGUGUUGUCUUCCAUAUUAUAUGAAUAGUAAGAACGGCAAAUCUUGUGGCAGGAAAGUAUGACUUGUGUGCCUGCAAGCUAAGUUAAUUCCAACCAAGUUUCAAUUUCAAACGAAAAACCUGAAAACUGAAUUGACAAGCUCACCAACCAAGGUCUCUUGGUUGAUUGCUACCAGCACUGCAUCAAUCUACAUACUUAGAUGGGAAAAUAGUUUGCAGAUAAAUUCUAGAGUGUUCUGAGGAAAUGCAAGUAUGAAGUUGCCUACUUCUUCAUAUAUCUUUCCAAUAAUUAAAAAGGGACAUAUGAGUUCAUGUUCCUGGUCAAAAUAUUGCCUGAGGUGAAUAGUGGCAGAGGACAAUUUUGUUUGCUUCACAUGUUAAUACAAUCUCACUUCACUCACAUCUCCUAAGCCAACACUUAAAGAUAAAUACAGUUAUCGUUUCACAUUUCCACAGUUCUCUAGUCCAAAAAAAUUUAUUCAGAAAAAGAAUAUAUCAGUAGAAAUUGUGUAAAAAUGUGUGUUAGUGGAAAUAAUGGAUUUCAUUAUGGAAAAAAUGGAUUUUAUUAUGCCUAUAGUGAGAGAAAUGUGCAGAGCUACCACUUUUAUUUAAAGCAAACUAAUGCAAGCAAUUUCCAUUUUUCUAGUUUCUUACACUUAGAAAAAUGAAGUACCAGAAAUGGGCAGAUUUUGUAGAAAUGUGCAGGCGAGGGAUAUAAGAUAAAAUUUCCUUUGCAUGGAGGAGUUUUUGAACUUUUUUCAAUUUUCUUAUAUAAAUUGAAGAGAUAGCACCCAUAAGUGAACUUGGCCCUUCUAUUUAAAAAAAAUAUAGGGAAAAUAGACCGAAUAAUUUUUAAAUGAUGAGGCACUAGGGGUAUUUUGGCUUGGAGAUCCAUAUGCCACCCCCCAAAAGAAUUAGACAAAAAUACUAUAAUUUCUUAUAAAUAAAUGCAAUGCUAACAACUCAGCAACAAAACAGUAUAACAGUAAUUGAAAACAGUCAUUUCCAGCAAUAAAGAACAAGUAUUAUUGCCAAACUAUCCAUUAGGUAUGUGUGAUCCAUUAAAAAAAAUUGUUCAAAAGUACUUAUAAAACAGGGGGCACUGGUGCUUUAUUUCUACAGUGUUUCUAAAGUUUAGGUGGUGAAAAAUUCAGUACUCUAACGAGACUAAUGAAAUUUUGGUACUAUUUCAUUAAUGAAGAUUGCUCAUGCACAUUAAAGAAAACAUCACUGUCAGUAGGAAAAUUUCAGGGGCUCCUACCUCCCUCAUUUCUAAAGCUAUUGGGGUGAAACGUGCUACAAGGGUAGAAAACAUUUAUCACUGUUUACGCACCAAAUUUCAGAUUAUUUGGCUUAUUCACAGAGUUUUGGCAAAUUAUCAAAGUUUUUAUUAAAAAACAUGUUUUAAAUAAUAAAGAAAAUCUGUUCCUGGUUUGAAAGUGUUAUUUGAUUUUUCAUUGUGUGUUCUUUACUUUGAAAAUAGUUGUUCUAUUUCAGAAACUUUGUUUUUGUGGAAGAAACUGUGUUAAAUUGGUGGAGACUCAACAAAGCAAAAUGUUAUGCUAUAGGGCAAUAUCCCUUGCACAAAGAUGAGGUUUUUGCAGUAUAAUAAACUUUCACCAUGUUUUUAUGACCAAACCAAUUAGGAACUACCAUUCAUAACCCGGGAACAGAAAUUGUAGUACAAACAUGAUCAAGGGACAUCUAGACUGCCUCCGUUCGUCAGGGCAGAAAGGCGCCAUCCAAACUCUUCUAACGUCAAAUUAAUAUAGAAUCAUAGAAUCAUAGAGUUGGAAGAGACUUCAUGGGCUAUCCAGUCAAAUCCCAUUCCAGGAAGCCAGAAAAUCUCAUUCAAAGCACCCCCGAAAGAUAGCCAUCCAGCCUCUCCUUAAAAGCCUCCAAAGAAGGAGCCUCCACUACACUCUGGGGCAGAAGGUUCACCAUAAAGUUUCACCACUGAACAGCUCUCACAGUUAGGAACUUCUUCCUAAAAUGUUCAGGUAGAAUUUCCUUUCCUGAAGUUUGAAGCCAUUGUUCCACAUCCUAGUCUCCAGGGCAGCAGAAAGCAAGCUUACAUCCUCCUUCCUGUGACUUCCCCUCACAUAUUUGUACAUGGCUAUCAUGUCUCCUCUCAGCCUUCUCUUCUGCAGGCUAAACAUGCCCAGCUCUUUAAGACGCUCUUUAUAGGGCUUGUUCUCCAGACCCUUGAUCAUUUUAGUCACCCUCCUUUGGACACAUUCCAGCUUGUUGAAACCCCUUUUAAAUUGCGGUGUCCAGAAUUGGACACAGUAUUUCAGGUGUGGUCUAACAAAGGCAAAAUAGAGGGGUUGCAUGACUUCCCUGGAUCAAGACAUGCUGGCCAAUCCACUUUUUUAGCUGCUAUGUCAAAUUGUUGGCUCAUAAUUAACUUAUCCAUGAAGACUUCAAGAUGUUUUAGAAAGAUUCACACAUCU